rnacentral:rRNA from 1 species
UUGAACUGAAGAGUUUGAUCCUGGCUCAGAUUGAACGCUGGCGGCAUGCCUUACACAUGCAAGUCGAACGGCAGCACGGGCUUCGGCCUGGUGGCGAGUGGCGAACGGGUGAGUAAUACAUCGGAACAUGUCCUGUAGUGGGGGAUAGCCCGGCGAAAGCCGGAUUAAUACCGCAUACGAUCUACGGAUGAAAGCGGGGGACCUUCGGGCCUCGCGCUAUAGGGUUGGCCGAUGGCUGAUUAGCUAGUUGGUGGGGUAAAGGCCUACCAAGGCGACGAUCAGUAGCUGGUCUGAGAGGACGACCAGCCACACUGGGACUGAGACACGGCCCAGACUCCUACGGGAGGCAGCAGUGGGGAAUUUUGGACAAUGGGGGCAACCCUGAUCCAGCAAUGCCGCGUGUGUGAAGAAGGCCUUCGGGUUGUAAAGCACUUUUGUCCGGAAAGAAAUCCUUGGCCCUAAUAUGGCCGGGGGAUGACGGUACCGGAAGAAUAAGCACCGGCUAACUACGUGCCAGCAGCCGCGGUAAUACGUAGGGUGCGAGCGUUAAUCGGAAUUACUGGGCGUAAAGCGUGCGCAGGCGGUUUGCUAAGACCGAUGUGAAAUCCCCGGGCUCAACCUGGGAACUGCAUUGGUGACUGGCAGG